rnacentral:lncRNA from 1 species
CUACUUGGUACUUCUCCGGCUGGGAUCUCUCCAGAGACAAGCAACAGUCUGCGGGAGUUAUGCAAAGCUGCAAGAGUCACAGUCCAAAAUGUUUGAACGCCAUUGAUCUAUGCAGAGGAUGAGUCAGUUGGUUUCUUUGCCUUAUGCUCACCACCUUCUAAAGAACUGGUUCUCUCCCACUGAGAGGGGAAGAAGUAAGCAUGAGAGGGACCACCCAGUCUCCAAGAGAUGGAGAGAUAUGAAACCUAGUGAAGUCACUGAUGGACAAAGAGAGUACUUUUGUGUUCCAAAUUUCCACUUGCAGUCCCUAUGUGGCCAGACUGUUAUUUCUCACCCUUGGAUGUCUGUGAGAUUGCUUAGUGUGUCUGUGUGUUUUUAUUUGCAAUAAAUUUCCCUUUUUCU